UUGUAACCACAACGGCACAACCAACAGUCGUGAUAUUUGAUAUAUCUUUAUACAUAGUACAAUAAUAGUAUAAUAGAGUAGUAAUAGAGGUGAAGUUUGUGAGAUUGUACUAGUAUUCCGCUUUUUAAAAUUCUCUCACUGUUAGAAAGGUAUAUUAUCCCUGAGUGCUAUGGACUACUUUUUAUUUUGGCGCUGAAAUGGAUAAUUAUUACAAAUGUUUUCUUCGUCGAGUUGGCAGCCAAUGGCGGCAAAACGCGUCCGUCAUCAGCACAUGUCGCCGUUCUCGCUGACUACAACACCGCUGUACCGCCAUCAAAUUGAUGGCUUCUUUAUUGGGUGGGCUCGACACCAAUUAAACGCGUUAAGUGACAUUAUCGAUAUAUCGAACAUUAGUUCUGUCGUGUUAUCUACUGGCAUACUUUAUGAUAUAAAAAUAUGGUAAUUACUUGAUUCAUGUUACCUAUCUUUAAUGAUAUCAUACGCAAUAUACCUCCAUAAACUUUUAUUAUGUUGUGACAAUGUUUCUGUAAUAUAUGUAUUUGUUGUAAGCAAUUAUUGAUGAACUAAAAUAAAUUUUAAAGACAAAA